GAUGAACGCUGGCGGCGUGCCUAAUACAUGCAAGUCGAGCGAACGGACGAGAAGCUUGCUUUUCUGAUGUUAGCGGCGGACGGGUGAGUAACACGUGGAUAACCUACCUAUAAGACUGGGAUAACUUCGGGAAACCGGAGCUAAUGCCGGAUAAUAUUUUGAACCGCAUGGUUCAAAAGUGAAAGCCGGUCUUGCUGUCACUUAUAGAUGGAUCCGCGCUGCAUUAGCUAGUUGGUAAGGUAACGGCCUACCAAGGCAACGAUGCGUAGCCGGCCUGAGAGGGCGAUCGGCCACACUGGAACUGAGACACGGUCCAGACUCCUACGGGAGGCAGCAGUAGGGAAUCUUGCGCAAUGGGCGAAAGCCUGACGGAGCAACGCCGCGUGAGUGAUGAAGGUCUUCGGAUCGUAAAACUCUGUUAUUAGGGAAGAACAUAUGUGUAAGUAACUGUGCACAUCUUGACGGUACCUAAUCAGAAAGCCACGGCUAACUACGUG
rnacentral:rRNA from 1 species